rnacentral:rRNA from 1 species
ACCAAAUAGAUACCCGGGUAGUCCACGCUGUAAACGAUGAGAACUAGACGUUGGAAGGAUCUGCCUUUCAGUGUCGCAGCUAACGCGUUAAGUUCUCCGCCUGGGGAGUACGGCCGCAAGGUUGAAACUCAAAGGAAUUGACGGGGGCCCGCACAAGCGGUGGAGUAUGUGGUUUAAUUCGAUGCAACGCGAAGAACCUUACCUGGUCUUGACAUCCUCGGAACCCUGCAGAGAUGCGGGGGUGCCUUCGGGAACUGAGAGACAGGUGCUGCACGGCUGUCGUCAGCUCGUGUCGUGAGAUGUUGGGUUAAGUCCCGCAACGAGCGCAACCCUCGUCCCUAGUUGCCAGCAUUCAGUUGGGAACGUCUAGGGAGGACUGCCGGUGACAAACCGGAGGAAGGUGGGGAGUGACGUCAAGUCAUCAUGGCCCGUUACUGACCAGGGCGUACACACGUACUACAAUGGUCGGUACAAAGGGUUAGCCAACGCCGCGAGGUGGAGCUAAUCCCAGAAAACCGGUACGUAGUCCGGAUCGGAGUCUGCAACUCGACUCCGUC